GACGAACGCUGGCGGCGUGCCUAACACAUGCAGGUCGAGCGAAGAACUUCGGUUCUUAGCGGCGGACGGGUGAGUAACACGUGGGUAACCUGCCUCAAAGAGGGGGAUAGCCUCCCGAAAGGGAGAUUAAUACCGCAUAAUAUUAGAUCUUCACAUGGAGAUUUAAUUAAAGGAGUAAUCCGCUUUGAGAUGGACCCGCGGCGCAUUAGCUAGUUGGUGAGGUAACGGCUCACCAAGGCGACGAUGCGUAGCCGACCUGAGAGGGUGAUCGGCCACAUUGGAACUGAGACACGGCCCAGACUCCUACGGGAGGCAGCAGUGGGGAAUAUUGCACAAUGGGCGAAAGCCUGAUGCAGCAACGCCGCGUGAGUGAUGAAGGCCUUCGGGUUGUAAAACUCUGUCUUUGGGGACGAUAAUGACGGUACCCAAGGAGGAAGCCACGGCUAACUACGUGCCAGCAGCCGCCGUAA
rnacentral:rRNA from 1 species